rnacentral:lncRNA from 1 species
CUGUCACUUUUGAUUUAUUGCAUCCUUGCUGAAUAAUACAAAAAAAAGAGUUUAAUGAGUUAAUCAAAAUGCGAUUUUUCAAAUGAUGUCAAACACAAACACAUGUGACUCUAUCUCAGACCUGACCGUGUUAAACACAUGUUUACAGGUGGAGCGACUGAGUGAGGGAAGCGUACGCAGAUCUGAUGAAUGUGACACAGAUCUGAAUAGCCCACUGAGAAUGGAUGAAACCCUGGUGGAUAGUGUCUUUGAAGAACAGCUUGUUCUCUGUCCGGAUGAAGAGGAAGAAGAACUAAACACGUUUAACUCAGGUAAACAUACGUCCAAAGAAUUGAUUUUAUUCAGCAAGGAUAUAAUAAUAAAAACAAGGGUGACAGUGAAGAACUUUUAUAAUCUUAAAAGAUU